rnacentral:rRNA from 1 species
UCCGGAUUAUUGGGCGUAAAGCGCGCGCAGGCGGUUUCUUAAGUCUGAUGUGAAAGCCCACGGCUCAACCGUGGAGGGUCAUUGGAAACUGGGGAACUUGAGUGCAGAAGAGAAAAGCGGAAUUCCACGUGUAGCGGUGAAAUGCGUAGAGAUGUGGAGGAACACCAGUGGCGAAGGCGGCUUUUUGGUCUGUAACUGACGCUGAGGCGCGAAAGCGUGGGGAGCAAACAGGAUUAGAUACCCUGGUAGUCCA